rnacentral:sRNA from 1 species
AUGUAAGAAAUAACUAACAUACAAUUAAAAAUAUAGGCUUUAGAAGAAGGUUAACCUGUGUUUGAAUGCAGGCCCUACAAUUUACCAGCUGUGUGACCCUGGACCUAUUUCUUUGCCUCUCUGAAUCUCACAUUCUUCAUUUGUAAAAUGAUGAUUAAAAAAGGAUUUCAUACACAUACACAUAUAUGCAUUUGUGUAUACGUUAUAUCUGAAUGUAUGUAUGGUCUUACAAAAAAACACAUACUCUUACUGGAGUAUACUAAACAUAUCCUUCUAUACUUAACUUUCUUCACUCAGCAGCUUUUCUUGGAGAAAUUCCUUAUUAUCUUUUUACCCCCGUGUUUUUUCUUAUGGUAAAUAAACAUGAUAUAAAAUUUGCCAUCUUAGCUAUCCUUAAGUGUAUAGGUAAGUGGUAUUAAAUACAUUUAUAAUGUCAUGCAGCCAUCACCACCACCAUCUCCAGAACUCUUCAUCUUGUAAAACUGGAACUAUUCUCAUUAAACAGUAAUUCGCCAUUCUCCCUUCCUCCCAGCCCCUGGCAAUCACUGUUCUACUUUCUGUCUCUGAUUUUGACUACUCAUAUACAUCAUAUAAAUGGAAUCUUACACUACAGUCAUUCCUUCAGUAUCUGUGAGGGAUUGGUUCCAGGACCCUCUGUGGAUACCAGCAUCCAUAAAUGCUCAUUUACUGGCUAUAAAAUGGUGUAGUGUUUGCAUAUAACCUGCGCACAUGUUCCUAUGUACUUUAAAUCAUCUCCAGAUUACUUAUAAUGCCUAAUACAAUGUAAGUGCUGUAUAAAUAGUUGUUAUACUGUAUUGUUUAGGGAACCAUGACAAGAGAAAGAAGACUUCAUGUUCAGUACAGAUGCAAUUUUUUUUCCCGAAUGUUUUCGAUUAGCAGUUGGUUGACUCCCUGGAUGGGGAACCCAGGGAUACAAAGGGCUGACUGUAUUUCCUUUUGUAACUAGCUUAUUGCACUUAGCAUAAUGUCCUCAAGAUUUGACCUUGUUAUAGCGAAUGUCAGAAUUUUUUUCAUUUUUGAGGCUCAAUAAUCCAUUGUAUGCAUGUAUGACAUUUUGCUUAUCCAUUCAUUCAUCUGUCAAUGGCUAUUUGGGUUACUUCUAUAUUAAAGCUGUUGUGAAUAUUGCUGCUAUUAACGUAGGUAUACAGAUAUCUCUUAGAGGCCCUGCUUUUAAUUCUUUUGGGUAUAUACCCAGAAAUGAAAUUGCUGAGUCAUAUGGUAAUUCCAUUUUUAAUUCCUUGAGGAAUCACUGUGCUGUUUUUCACAGUGGGUGUACCAUUUUGUAUUUCCACCGGCAGUGCACAAGGGUUCCAAUUUUUCCAUAUCCUUAGCAAUACUUGUUGUUUUCUAGUUUUUUGAUAAUAGCUAUCCUAGUUGGUGUGAGGUGAUAUUUAUAUUGAUUUGCAUUUUUCUAAUGAUUAGUGAUUUUGAGCAUCUUUUCAUUAAUAUUCUUUUAAUGGUUGCUAUAUCCAAUGUAAGAAUGUCCGUAAGUUGUUUCAGUUUUUAUGUUAGAAACAAUGCUUCAUAUAAAAUAUUAAACGUAUUUUUAUACAUAUGGGAGCACAAUUAUAAGGUAAUUUGUUAGCACUGGACUCCCUAGGUCAUGAAGGGUAUAUACCAUGUAUGGUGUCACCAAUUGUGCUGCCAGCUUGUCUUUGGUACACAGCAAGGGAGUGUGGAUCUUCCCAGACACUCCCAGACCAAAAGCACUUUCCCAGACCAAAGCACUUUCAGCAAACUUCUAAAUUCCACACUGAUCUUUUAUUUUUCAUUUUUUAGUUUUGUAAAUGUUUUAUUUUAAUGAGAGUUUCUGGAAACUUAUUAUAUACUGUUCUAUUGUAUAUAUUUUUCUAUUUUUUCAUUUUCUGCCAUACAAUAUUUCAAGUUGAGGUGCUAUAACUGUACUAGAUACAUAUAUACUAUGUAGUAUACUGUUGUCUUGCUAUUUUUGUUACUACAUUUUAUUUGGAACUUUUAAAAAAUUCUUUUUGUUUGCAAUGAUGUAUAUAGAUUGCAUGUUAAAGUAAAAUUCUUAAUGUUUAUAAAAGUGAUUAUGUUAAAAGGUACUGACUCACCCAGACAGGCCAUGUGUUCAGAAACAGUCAAAUUCCCACUGAAACCAUCUAGGCGUAGGAUAGGAAGCACAAAGUAGUAGCCUUUCAACAACUUUAUUUCUUCAGUGGAUAUCAGGAUGUUUAGAUUAUCUCUCUUCUGGAGUCAAUACUAAUAAAUUAUGUUUUCAAUACAUAAUGGAAAGAGCUGGACAUGGUGACUCCUGCCUGUAAUCCCAGCACUUUGGGAGGUCAAGGGAUUACAGGUGUGAGCCACCACACCUGGCCAGUUUAAAAUUUUUACUGUGAUCUUUUCCUAGCCAGAAACAUCAUAAUAUAUGAAUAGAAUUUAAUAUAGAGACCUUUUUGAUAACAUCUGUUUGUUUGUUUUUUUUUCUUAAUUACCCCAGGUAGUUUUGGAUGUUGGGUGUGGAACUGGAAUUCUCUCUAUGUUUGCUGCUAAAGCUGGGGCGAAGAAGGUUCUUGGAGUUGAUCAAUCUGAAAUACUUUACCAGGCAAUGGAUAUUAUAAGACUAAAUAAACUUGAAGAUACUAUUACACUAAUUAAAGGAAAGAUUGAAGAAGUUCAUCUUCCUGUAGAAAAAGUAGAUGUUAUCAUAUCUGAGUGGAUGGGCUAUUUUCUUCUGUUUGAGUCUAUGUUAGAUUCUGUCCUUUAUGCAAAGAACAAAUACUUGGCAAAAGGAGGCUCGGUCUACCCUGACAUUUGCACUAUCAGCCUAGUAGCAGUGAGUGAUGUGAAUAAACAUGCUGAUAGAAUUGCUUUUUGGGAUGAUGUCUAUGGCUUCAAGAUGUCCUGCAUGAAGAAAGCAGUUAUUCCAGAGGCUGUUGUGGAAGUUUUAGAUCCGAAGACUCUUAUUUCAGAACCUUGUGGUAUUAAGCAUAUAGAUUGCCAUACAACGUCUAUCUCAGAUUUGGAGUUUUCAUCAGAUUUUACCCUGAAAAUCACAAAGACAUCCAUGUGCACGGCAAUUGCUGGCUACUUUGAUAUAUAUUUUGAGAAGAAUUGCCACAACAGGGUCGUGUUCUCUACGGGCCCUCAGAGCACCAAAACACACUGGAAACAAACAGUAUUUCUACUGGAAAAACCAUUUUCAGUUAAAGCAGGUGAAGCCUUGAAAGGAAAGGUCACAGUUCAGAAGAAUAAGAAAGAUCCACGUUCUCUCACCGUGACCCUCACAUUGAAUAAUUCAACUCAAACUUAUGGUCUCCAGUGAAAAAGCCAUAAAAGCACACUACCUUGUAGUUUUUAAUGUGAGGGUAGAGUGGGUCAGCAGGAGGGAGCUGGUUUUAUGUGAGCAGAUGGAUGGAUGAUGGACCCUUUCCUAAUGAGCCUCCUCAAUAAGAGAGAAGUUCUUAUUGUGGGAAUCUGACAUAGUUCAGCUGAGGAAGAGAAUCAGCUGAUCCUCGUGAUCUGCCACGUAAUCAUUUUCUUAGAAGUUUGCUCCACCAGAUUUAACCAAAUGUAACUCCCACAUUGAGUUUAUCUGUAUUGAAAAUCAUUUACAUUGGCCUGUAUUUGGAAGAGAGAUAGUCUUUUGUUUUUAGUAAGCUUCUUACUAUAAAUUUUAAACAAAUUGGUUAGUUAUUUGGAUAUUUUAUUAAACUGGUAACACAGGUAGUACACAUUUUAUUAUGGACUCCUCUGAGGAGGAGUUUUUAAUUGUAUUUGCUAGAAAAUCAGGAUGUAAUAAAGAUUAGUGUAGAAAAACUAAAAUACGGAAAAGAGCUUCAGCCUUCAUAUACAAAUCAUAUAUGCAGACAGCCUAGUUGAUUGUCCUAUCUAGCAUACUUAAGUUUCUCAUUUUGUAGUUUCUUCCCUCUUUGUAACUAUUCCUUAGCCUUAUAGAUUUCUAGUACUGCCCAGGAAAUCUAAUUUCAAUACAUUUAUCCUAGGUUUCAUGACAGUUUUUAAAGAUUGGGAUAAAAUACGUACUUAUUUACUAAUGUAUUAUCUUUUUCAAACCAGAUUUAUAUGCAAAGGUUAAACAUGUAACUGUUACUAUACUUAGCACUCUAUAAAGUUGUCAUUUACAAUUACUGAUUCAAUUUGAAAUGUAGAAUGAAAAAGUUUUAAUAAAAUGUAUCAAACAACUUACAAAAU